rnacentral:rRNA from 1 species
UACGAAGGGGGCUAGCGUUGCUCGGAAUCACUGGGCGUAAAGCGCACGUAGGCGGGUCUUUAAGUCAGGGGUGAAAUCCUGGAGCUCAACUCCAGAACUGCCUUUGAUACUGGGGAUCUUGAGUUCGGGAGAGGUGAGUGGAACUGCGAGUGUAGAGGUGAAAUUCGUAGAUAUUCGCAAGAACACCAGUGGCGAAGGCGGCUCACUGGCCCGAUACUGACGCUGAGGUGCGAAAGCGUGGGGAGCAAACAGG